rnacentral:rRNA from 1 species
CCUACGGGAGGCAGCAGUGGGGAAUAUUGCACAAUGGGGGCAACCCUGAUGCAGCGACGCCGCGUGAAGGAUGAAGGAUUUCGGUAUGUAAACUUCUAUCAGCAGGGAAGAAAAUGACGGUACCUGACUAAGAAGCCCCGGCUAACUACGUGCCAGCAGCCGCGGUAAUACGUAGGGGGCAAGCGUUAUCCGGAUUUACUGGGUGUAAAGGGAGCGCAGACGGUAGGGCAAGUCUGAUGUGAAAACCCGGGGCUCAACCCCGGGACUGCAUUGGAAACUGCCGAACUAGAGUGUCGUAGAGGCAAGUGGAAUUCCUAGUGUAGCGGUGAAAUGCGUAGAGAUUAGGAGGAAUACCAGUGGCGAAGGCGGUUCGCUGGACGAUGACUGACGUUGAGGCGCGAAAGCGUGGGGAGCAAACAGGAUUAGAUACCCCAGUAGUC